rnacentral:rRNA from 1 species
GAUGAACGCUGGCGGCGUGCCUAAUACAUGCAAGUCGAACGAACAGACGAGGAGCUUGCUCCCCUGACGUUAGCGGCUGACGGGCGAGUAACACGUGGAUAACCUACCUCUAAUUCUGGGAGAAUUUCGGGAAACCGCAGCUAAUACCGGAUAAUAUAUUCAACCGCAUGGUUCAAUAGUGAAAGACGGCUUUCCCGUCACUUAUAGAUGGAUCCGCGCCGCAUUAGCUAGUUGGUAAGGUAACGGCUUACCAAGGCGACGAUGCGUAGCCGACCUGAGAGGGUGAUCGGCCACACUGGAACUGAGACACGGUCCAGACUCCUACGGGAGGCAGCAGUAGGGAAUCUUCCGCAAUGGGCGAAAGCUUGACGGAGCAACGCCGCGUGGGUGAUGAAGGUCUUCGGAUCGUAAAACUCUGUUGUUAGGGAAGAACAAAUGUGUAAGUAACUAUGCACGUCUUGACGGUACCUAAUCAGAAAGCCACGGCUAACUACGUG